CGGCAUCACUGGAAGAGAGCGACUCGACGAAGCAAUAGCAACAUGUUCAAAUCCGUUUUUAAAAUACUCAGUGUGUUGCUGUUGGUGGUCGCCGCACUGGCCAGCGCCACGCCAGAGCCGGGAUACCGUAGUUAUGGCGGCUAUGGCGGCGGACAUGGUUACGGCUACGCUGGAUAUGGGGGCGGGUAUGGUGGAUAUGGUGGUGGCCAUGGCGGUGGCUACGGACGCUGAGAUGGAGGGCCCCACGUACCUGAACUGACAGCGAUGCAUCCAAGACGAAAGUGUUGCGUGCUUAUUGUUGUACGCUUUUAAGAAAUGACUAUUGGAAUAUUUUUUUUUCUCGUUAAAUCGAGAAGUAAAAUUUUACCUUACA